rnacentral:rRNA from 1 species
GAUGAACGCUGGCGGCGUGCCUAAUACAUGCAAGUCGAGCGAACGGACGAGAAGCUUGCUUCUCUGAUGUUAGCGGCGGACGGGUGAGUAACACGUGGAUAACCUACCUAUAAGACUGGGAUAACUUCGGGAAACCGGCUCUAAUACCGGAUAAUAUUUUGAACCGCAUGGUUCAAAAGUAAAAGACGGUCUUGCUGUCACUUAUCGAUGGAUCCGCGCUGCAUUAGCUAGUUGGUAAGGUAACGGCUUACCAAGGCAACGAUGCAUAGACGACCUGCGAGGGUGGUCGGCCACACUGGAAGUGAGACACGGUCCAGAUUACUACGGGAGGCAGCAGUAGGGAAUCCGCCGCAAAGGGCGAAAGCCUGACGGAGCAACGCCGCGUGAGUGAUGAAGGUCUUCGGAUCGUAAAACUCUGUUAUUAGGGAAGAACAUAUGUGUAAGUAACUGUGCACAUCGUGACGGUACCUAAUCAGAAAGCCACGGCUAACUACGUG